rnacentral:rRNA from 1 species
GACAGAGGUGCCAAGCGUUUAGGCGGAAUCACUGGGCUUAAAGCGUGUGUAGGCGGAAUGGUAAGUACCUUGUGAAAUCCCACGGCUCAACCGUGGAACUGCUUGGUAUACUGCUUUCUUGAGCCACUUAGGGGCAACCGGAACAAACGGUGGAGCGGUGAAAUGCGUAGAUAUCGUUUGGAACGCCAAUGGUGAAAACAGGUUGCUGGGAGUGUGCUGACGCUGAGACACGAAAGCCAGGGGAGCAAACGGG